GUGAAUCAUCGAAUCUUUGAACGCAAAUUGCACUCUCUUCGGAGAGUAUGCCUGUUUGAGGGUCAGCCUAAAAAAAAUCGACAUAGUUGCUGUUUUCGCGGUGACAUUCGUCGGAAAUUGGGUCAUCUUAAACCUUUGGGUUUUAAGCGGCUUAAAAUUUUCUUUCGGAUUCAACAACGGUUUCUAGGAUAUUUCUUUCUUACACGUUUAGG
rnacentral:misc_RNA from 1 species